GACGAACGCUGGCGGCGUGCUUAACACAUGCAAGUCGAACGGAAAGGCCCUGCUGUUGUGGGGUGCUCGAGUGGCGAACGGGUGAGUAACACGUGGGUAACCUGCCCUUGACUUUGGGAUAACUUCAGGAAACUGGGGCUAAUACCGGAUAGGAGCUCCUGCUGCAUGGUGUGGGUUGGAAAGUUUCGGCGGUUGGGGAAGGACUCGGGGCUUAGCAGCUUGUAGGUGGGGUAGUGGCUUACCAAGGCGUUGACGGGUAGCCGGACUGAGAGGGUGACCGGCCACAUUGGGAUUGAGAUACGGCCCAGACUCCUACGGGAGGCAGCAGUGGGAAAUAUUGCACAAUGGGCGGAAGCCGGAUGCAGCAACGCCGCGUGGGGGAUGACGGCCUUCGGGUUGUAAACCGCUUUCGCCUGAGACGAAGCGUGAGUGACGGUAAUGGGUAAAGAAGCACCGGCUAACUACGUG
rnacentral:rRNA from 1 species